rnacentral:sRNA from 1 species
ACGAAAGAAGGAGGAGAAGAAGAAGUAUGU